CGAACGCUGGCGGCGUGCCUAAUACAUGCAAGUAGAACGCUGAAGGAGGAGCUUGCUUCUCUGGAUGAGUUGCGAACGGGUGAGUAACGCGUAGGUAACCUGCCUGGUAGCGGGGGAUAACUAUUGGAAACGAUAGCUAAUACCGCAUAACAGUAGAUGUUGCAUGACAUUUGCUUAAAAGGUGCAAUUGCAUCACUACCAGAUGGACCUGCGUUGUAUUAGCUAGUUGGUGGGGUAACGGCUCACCAAGGCGACGAUACAUAGCCGACCUGAGAGGGUGAUCGGCCACACUGGGACUGAGACACGGCCCAGACUCCUACGGGAGGCAGCAGUAGGGAAUCUUCGGCAAUGGACGGAAGUCUGACCGAGCAACGCCGCGUGAGUGAAGAAGGUUUUCGGAUCGUAAAGCUCUGUUGUAAGAGAAGAACGAGUGUGAGAGUGGAAAGUUCACACUGUGACGGUAUCUUACCAGAAAGGGACGGCUAACUACGUGCCAGCAGCCGCGGUAAUACGUAGGUCCCGAGCGUUGUCCGGAUUUAUUGGGCGUAAAGCGAGCGCAGGCGGUUAGAUAAGUCUGAAGUUAAAGGCUGUGGCUUAACCAUAGUACGCUUUGGAAACUGUUUAACUUGAGUGCAAGAGGGGAGAGUGGAAUUCCAUGUGUAGCGGUGAAAUGCGUAGAUAUAUGGAGGAACACCGGUGGCGAAAGC
rnacentral:rRNA from 1 species